GAUGAUACGAGACUACUGAUGCUGACCGAUCAAAACAAGUUAAGCUAUGUGGGGGCCCUGAGCAGGAUUUGAUUUGGGAGCCCACUGUACCUCGUUGUAACUCCUGGGUAAAGGGAGAGACAGCCCUGGAUCAAAACAUAACGUAGGCUAUUGGCAGCAGGAACAGGGACAGGAGCAGAAUGACUGUGCUUUAGCCUGGCGGAUGGGAAAGUUUCCCUCACUGGGCAGUGAACAGACUGAGGACACACUGGGACUACUGUACUGGACUACUGUACCAAUACCACCCUCAUGAGGAAUGAAGUGACAGGAGAGAACAGACAGCAGGACAGAGACAUCUCCCCUGCUGAGCUGGAUGCACUAUGGAGGGAACCACCGUACACGCUAGCGGGAACCAAUGAGCACUUCACAGGAAAUGAUGUUACGAAUCGAGGUAGA
rnacentral:lncRNA from 8 species